ensembl:ncRNA lncRNA:CR44590 long non-coding RNA:CR44590
UUGUCGGAAUCAUUAAAUUCAAAAUAUUACGCAUUAAUUUUCGGUAGCGAUAUAAAAUUACCCAGCAAAGCUACGAGCGGAAAAGCUCGACGAUGUAACCUCGAUAAAAAAAAAAAAAACCAAAACCGAGUGGCUUCUGUGGCCAUAAUGGAAGUAAUGGUUACCCGGAGAUCAUGGACAUACAUAUGCCGAUCCCCAUCACUAGGCCCUCCCCAAAAGGCCGUGAUUAAUGAGCUGACAAAGUGUUGAACAUCAAAGGCAGGGAAAACAGUAAUUUACAACGACGCAACGCGACUCGAGAUGAAAUUUAAUUUAAUUUUUUAUUAAUUGUUGCUGGGCAUCUGGGGCACAGGCAGAUCCCGAUCGAGACUAAGAUUGGGAUUGAGAUCGAAGUGUACCUGCUGAUCCGAUGAUGAACCCAAUAAACCCAGGCGUUGCCUGGCACAUAAGCAGCGCAAAACCUCAAAAUAUUUACUCGACAGCAAGGUGGACUAACCCAAAAUAGGGAUUUGCCGAGCGAUUUGCGAAUCAAAAUUUCCAAUUCCAGGAGGUGGCCUUAAGGUUGCGAAAGGAUUUGCAGCGUCAGUGGCUCGCACUCGCACAUGCACUCCAUCUCUUUCGCGCAGCGAGGAUUAGGCCGUUUCGGAAAUAAUCCUUUGCUGCCAGGAAGAAUGCAGUAAACGGCGCACAGCCCUUCGGCGGACCAGGUCAACUCGUUUUCGGCCCAUUUACGAUGGUGCCAUAAACUUUUAUUUGCUGUCAUUCUUCGUCCUCGUGCGCGGUGUUCAUCGCUCAGCCGGGACAUGAACCCCUUUCCGUGCAGGAUAAUAGGUCCUUUUGCAGGCAAGAGUUAAGCCAGCAGCGUAGGAAAGGCUUAGCUUUCACUCAGGCAGGCAAUCGGUCAGUCAGUCAGUCAGUUCGUCCGUCAAUCAAGCCGAGUCAAAGUCAGGUAGAGAUUGCGCUUCGUAAAGUCCUUUGGCUAGAGUCCUUUCUCCCGAGUUUCGAGCUGCAGCGAUAAUCCCUGCUAAUGAGGUGUCCUGUGCAAAGCAAAACUGUGGGCAUCGCGAUAUGCGAGGCGGAUGAAAGUCUAUAAGUCAAGGAUAAUAAUGGAAACUAGACGGAUUACGGAGAUGGUAACAAAACGCUCCAAAUGAAUGAGACAAUCAUGAGAUUAUUAAUGCAAGGGUCUUAAUACAAUAUUAUAGAAUCAAAUUGAUAUGUAUACAUUUUGUGCAUUUAAGACUAAUUCAGUAAGAAUUAGAAUACACGU